rnacentral:rRNA from 1 species
UACGUAGGGGGCAAGCGUUGUUCGGAGUUACUGGGCGUAAAGCGUGCGUAGGCGGUGUCUUAAGUUUGUUGUGAAAUCUCCCGGCUUAACCGGGAGGGUGCGGCGAAUACUGAGAUGCUGGAGUGCCGGAGAGGUAAGCGGAAUUCCUGGUGUAGCGGUGAAAUGCGUAGAUAUCAGGAGGAACACCUGCGGUGUAGACGGCUUACUGGACGGUAACUGACGCUGAGGCACGAAAGCGUGGGUAGCAAACAGG